AGCACAAAAAACGUAUAUUAAAGUUGUUGCGGUUAAAAAGCUCGUAGUUGGAUUUCUGCCGAGGACGACCGGUCCGCCCUCUGGGUGAAUAUCUGGCUCGGCCUGGGAAUCUUCUUGGAGAACGUAGCUGCACUUGAUUGUGUGGUGCGGUAUCCAGGAUUUUUACCCUGAGGAAAUUAAAAUGUUUCAAACAGGCACACGCCUUGAAUACAUUAGCAUGGAAUCAUGAGAUAGGACCUUGGUUUUAUUUUGUUGGUUUCUAAAGCUGAGGUAAUGAUUAAUAGGGACAGUUGGGGGCAUUCGUAUUUAAGUGUCAGAGGUGAAAUUCUUGGAUUUGUUAAAGACGAACUACUGCGAAAGCAUUUGCCAAGGAUGUUUUCA
rnacentral:rRNA from 1 species